ACUGACACUGAGGUGCGAAAGCGUGGGGAGCAAACAGGAUUANAUNCCUGGUAGUCNACGCCGUAAACGAUGUCAACUAGCCGUUGGNGCNUUGAGCUUUNAGUGGCGCAGCUAACGCAUUAAGUUGACCGCCUGGGGAGUACGGCCGCAAGAG
rnacentral:rRNA from 1 species